rnacentral:rRNA from 1 species
UACGAAGGUGGCAAGCGUUACUCGGAUUUACUAGGCGUAAAGGGCAGGUAGGUGGUUUGAUAAGUCUGCUGUGUAAGCUCCUGGCUUAACUAGGAGAGGUCAGCGGAAACUAUCGAGCUUGAGUAUGGGAGAGGGCGCUGGAAUUCCCGGUGUAGCGGUGAAAUGCGCAGAUAUCGGGAGGAACACCAAUGGCGAAAGCAGGCGCCUGGACCAUUACUGACACUCAGCUGCGAAAGCUAGGGGAGCAAACAGG